rnacentral:rRNA from 1 species
CCUACGGGAGGCAGCAGUGGGGAAUAUUGCACAAUGGGGGAAACCCUGAUGCAGCGACGCCGCGUGAGUGAAGAAGUAUUUCGGUAUGUAAAGCUCUAUCAGCAGGGAAGAACGUGACGGUACCUGAAUAAGAAGCCCCGGCUAACUACGUGCCAGCAGCCGCGGUAAUACGUAGGGGGCAAGCGUUAUCCGGAUUUACUGGGUGUAAAGGGAGCGUAGACGGCAUCAGAAGUCUGGAGUGAAAUGCCGGGGCUUAACCCCGGAACUGCUUUGGAAACUGUGCAGCUAGAGUGCAGGAGAGGUAAGUGGAAUUCCUAGUGUAGCGGUGAAAUGCGUAGAUAUUAGGAGGAACACCAGUGGCGAAGGCGGCUUACUGGACUGUAACUGACGUUGAGGCUCGAAAGCGUGGGGAGCAAACAGGAUUAGAUACCCGUGUAGUC